AUGGACUAUGAGGAGGAGACUUACACCCUAACCCUCGUCCCUGUCCGGCCUCCAAGCACCGCCUCAGCAUCUCCCUCUCAAAAAACCAUGACUGAAAGUGUGUCUGUACAGUGCUCCUGCUCUCCCACACCUACUAUCUCCCUGAGCAGUGCAACAGGUGAAGGGAAGAAAAAGAGGAAGAGAGGUAUUUUUUGUUUUUGUGGUACAGCCUACUCAUCAAAUUAAAUGUGUAAUGCACUUCCUUGAUAGCAGCAUGAUAAUAUUGUUUGUGUGCAUGUAGACACAAUGAAUCAGACACAUGCAAAGAGCGAUUGCAAACAGAAGACUUUUCGGAGAACAGUUUUUUUCCCUAAUCCCUGUUAUUAUCAGUAACAAUAAAAAACAUAAAGGAUUACUCACUAACUUGUCCUCAUCUACAGGUAGAAGAUAAAUUAUUCAUGAGAUAAAACAAAAACUAAUGUGGACACAUAUGAGACAAGAGACACUCCUUCUCUUCCUCUGUGCGUCAGCAUUGUACAGCUCAACUCUACUCUAUUCACUUUUGGGUCCUCGACUUCCUUUUCCACUGUAGAUAGAACUUUGGAUGGGACCCCUCAAUGUAGGCAGAGGUGAUUGUCAGAGCAAUGAAGUUGGGAAACAAGCUUUACUUUGGUCUUGAGAAGCUGCAGCCUUUCUUUAUUGACAGACUCUAAGCUACACUGUACAUUUACUGCCACACUGACAACACACUACGCACAUAAACAGCUACGCUACUCAUAACAGAGGAUAUGAAGCUAUGUUCUGGACAAGUCUGGACUUUGUCAGUUGACCACAGCAUGGUGUUGUGGGCUGCCAUUUUUGAGUGAAUAAAAAAAACUUAACUAUUAAUGAUAGUUUGGCUAUUUAAAAAUCUAGGCUUUAUGCAGGAUCAACUGUGGUGUGACUAAUCAGUGGUUGGCAGUAAUGUCACACCACCUUUUAGUGUCAGCUCAGCUAGCUCGGAACGUUGACCAAGGUGUACCAGGUCCACAAUAACAAUCAAAGAACAGUAAAUAGGUGAGAUAUCAUGAUCAAGAAGGUGGUUCACCCAGGGCGAAGCUCAGCCAUUGCUUCGGUUGUGCUGACCCCUGUGAAUUCUUGACAGUGGAAAUGCAGCUGUAUUCACCUGGGGGAUGUCAAAGUCUGUUUCUAAAUUUAUUCUCCUUCUUUCUUCUGUUUGUUUUUAGCAUAAUUUUAGGCUUCCCAAAAUGUUAGAAGCAAAAAAUAUUUCACUACAAUGAAAUAAAAGAAACAACUAAAGGAGGUAAGAUGUAACUGAGUGAGUGAAAUAGCAGUUCAUUUAACAGUGGUUGCUGGAAUGGCUAACACUUCUUUUUGUCUGUGUGUGUGUUUGUGUGUGUUUCUGUGUGUGUGUGUGUGUGUGUGUGUGUGUGUGUGUGUGUGUGUGUGUGUGUGUGUGUAUGUGUGUGUGUGUGUGUGUUUCUGUGUGUUCCUUCCACACUGGUUAGUAGCAGGCUUCUGAAAAACCGAUCCUAAGUCAUUUGUUGUUCUAUGAUACCCUAUUGAUAUAAACUAAUAUUGUGGUAUAUGCAAUGAUCUUACACUUGUUUACAUUCAAUCUUUUUUGCCUGCCAGCAACUUUAUAGGCUCCAAUUAAUGUUUUUGUUUGUGUGUCUUUAAGACACCUGUAUGUUGAAUGUUGUUCUCUCUCUCUCUCUCUCUCUCUCUCUCUCUCUCUCUCUGUGCAUGAAUAAAAAUAAAGAUUUGUUCAUUUGUUUUAUUUCAGUUCAGUUUGUUUGCCUUUUUCAUUACGUUUUGAAUAAAUGUUUCUU
rnacentral:lncRNA from 15 species